AACUGUGGGCACUUCCACCCUGCAGAAUCCAGCUCUUAGGUCUGGGUUUCUGGUGUCUGGUCGAGAGUAACAGUUAUGUAACUAGUGUGCGUCUGAUGCUGACUCUUCUCUCCAGCUUCUGUCUCUCCAGCUUCUGUCCCUGUUGUGUUUUAUUGCUGCUGCUGUUCCUUUUUUCCAUUUUUGCCUUCUCUGCUCGCUGGAUCUUGUUUAUUCACUGGUUUCACGUCGGAACUUCUCCUGCUAGCCACCCAGGGGCCUCCUCCCUUCUUCCCCCCACCCCUCGGCUGCAGCUGCGGUGGGAAACAAGAAAGAUGACCUGUGUGUUGUGAGAAAAGCAGGAGAGAAGAGGGAAAGGAGGAGGAGCCACAGUUUGGAUGAGUUCAUUGAUUUCAGCGCCAACAGGAAAGAGGCUGACAAGUGUGACGUGAGGAAGGAAGACAGGCGGGAGAAAAGAAACAGCCUCAGUUUGGAUCGACUGCAUUCUUGCAUGAAUUAUUUACCUGAGCGAGGGAUGACCAUGUCCAGUCCUGAGGACUUGAAGCUUUCUAUCUGAGAUCUUUGGUCUUUCACUCAUGACUGCACUUUGUAAAUCCAGUCAUGAUGCCAUCUCCUUGUUGUUUCCCCAUGUGGAAAUUUUCUGAAACAGGUGUUUUUUGAUCAUUCCAUUUACAAAAACCAAUAAAGUUUAUAUGGUAAAAUA